AAAUUAUCAAGAGAGUCGCGAGGGAAUGGGCCCGUUAAAGCGACCGACAACCGAUCCUGAGCUUAAGUCGAAGGAUACGGUGCCAAAUCCCACCCAAAUGGAGGGAAAGAUAAGCC
rnacentral:ncRNA from 2 species